rnacentral:rRNA from 1 species
GACGAACGCUGGCGGCGUGCCUAAUACAUGCAAGUCGAGCGAAGUUUUUCUGGUGCUUGCACCGGAAAAACUUAGCGGCGAACGGGUGAGUAACACGUAAAGAACCUGCCUCAUAGACUGGGACAACUAUUGGAAACGAUAGCUAAUACCGGAUAAUAGCAUUAACUGCAUGGUUGAUGUUUAAAAGUUGGUUUUGCUAACACUAUGAGAUGGCUUUGCGGUGCAUUAGCUAGUUGGUGGGGGAAAGGCCUACCAAGGCGACGAUGCAUAGCCGACCUGAGAGGUUGAUCGGCCACACUGGGACUGAGACACGGCCCAGACUCCUACGGGAGGCAGCAGUAGGGAAUCUUCCGCAAUGGGCGAAAGCCUGACGCAGCAACGCCGCGUGAGUGAAGAAGGAUUUCGGUUCGUAAAGCUCUGUUGUUAGGGAAGAAUGAUUGUGUAGUAACUAUACACAGUAGUGACGGUACCUAACCAGAAAGCCACGGCUAACUACGUG